AUGAAUUUGGCCAGCCUCAUCAGGAAAGGCAUCAAACAGAUCUUGUCUGUAUCUACUUGCUGCAAAGCACUUGAAUAUGCUCUGCUCAAAUGGAAGACAGAAAAAUCCUGCUGUCAGAGUGGAGCGAAAACUAUGAAAACGAAGCUCUGAUAAUACUACCACUAGAGUUAAGCUGAGCUUGAAAGAAAGGAAGAAAGGAAG